rfam:Weissella kandleri strain DSM 20593 Scaffold2, whole genome shotgun sequence.
UGAAUUAAAUCGAUUCUACCUAAGACGCCGGUGGCUAUUAGCCUUAAUAUCCUGCCGAGGAAGUGAAAAUGAGCGAAAGCAAGUUUGAGCCCCCGGCACUCUAAGUGUUGGGGGUUCUUAGUUAGAAUC